rnacentral:rRNA from 1 species
CAAGCGUUAUCCGGAAUUAUUGGGGCGUAAAGAGUGCGUAGGCGGUUGAUUAAGUCUGGCGUAAAAUCCCCACAGCUUAACUGUGGAGGGUCAUUGGAAACUGGUCGACUAGAGUACGGUAGAGGUAAGCGGAAUUCCAAGUGGAGCGGUAAAAUGCGUAGAUAUUUGGAGGAACACCGGUGGCGAAGGCGACUUACUGGGCCGGAACUGACGCUGAUGCACGAAAGCGUGGGGAGCAAACAGGAUUAGAUACCCUGGUAGUCCACGCCGUAAACUAUGAGCACUAAGUGUCGGAGUAAAAUUCGGUGCUGCAGUUAACACAAUAAGUGCUCCGCCUGGGGAGUACGGUCGCAAGACUGAAACUCAAAGGAAUUGACGGGGACUCGCACAAGCGGUGGAGCAUGCGGUUUAAUUCGAUGCAACGCGAAGAACCUUACCAGGUCUUGACAUACUGUUGACAGGGUUAGAGAUAGCCCCUUUCUUCGGAACAACAGAUACAGGUGGUGCAUGGUUGUCGUCAGCUCGUGUCGUGAGAUGUUGGGUUAAGUCCCGCAACGAGCGCAACCCUUAUCAUUAGUUGCUAACAGUCAGAUGAGCACUCUAAUGAGACCGCCGGCGUAAGCCGGAUGGAGGUGGGGAUGACGCCAAAUCAUCAUGCCCCUUAUGACCUGGGCUACACGCGUGCUACAAUGGCUAGUACAAAGAGUUGCGAAACCGCGAGGUGGAGCUAAUCUCAUAAAGCUAGUCUCAGUUCGGAUUGUAGUCUGCAACUCGACUACAUGAAGUUGGAAUCGCUAGUAAUCGUGAGUCAGAAUGCCACGGUGAAUACGUUCUCGAGUCUUGUACACACCGCCCGUAAGGGC